rnacentral:rRNA from 1 species
UCCCUACGGGGCGCACCAGGCGCGAAAACUUUACAAUGCGGGCAACCGUGAUAAGGGAACCUCGAGUGCCUGUAUAUGCAGGCUGUCCAGGUGUCUAAAACACGCCUGAAGAAAGGGCCGGGCAAGACCGGUGCCAGCCGCCGCGGUAAUACA